AACCCAGGGCCUUGCGCAUGCCAGGCGAGCACUCUACCCCAAGUCCCAGCCCAGCCCCAGCCAGCUUUUUAGUAGACAAUGGUCUGAAUGGACAUUUCUCCAAAGAAGAUGCACAAUCGACCAAUAAGCCCUUGAAAAUGUGCUCCAUGUCCUGAGCAAGUAGCACAGUCGGCUGACGGCUGGCAGAAGAGAAGCCACAGGAGGCAGGAAAGGGUCUUGGCCUCUUGAAGAGCGGUGGAAUGGGGAGAUGGCAAAACCCACCUUAACAGACUCCUGGCGAUGAAUUCCAGGGGAACGUGGGUCUAAAUGCAACAAGUUUCUCCAAAAAUCCUUUAGAAGAGACUUUGGGGUCACUCCCUCCAGAAGCUCCUGGAAGCUGUCCCUAGGCUUCUCUGGGCUCCUGUGGCUGCUGGCACCUGGCUUACACUGGGCCAGUCCACUCUGGCCCCGUCUCCCCGUGCUUCUCCUGUGUGAGUGUCUGAGCUCCCACUGCCUCUCUUACAGGAAGACUUUCGAUGGCACUCAGGGGCCACCAGGGAGUCUGGGACAAUCUCCUUUGCUCGAAAUCCCUAACUUGAUCACAUCUGCAACGUGGAGCACAGUGCAGCCCGCUAAGGCUGGUGUCACUGUCCUCAGGGAAAUGCACAGGAGAUGCAAAUUACUAUCCCCUACAGUCACCGCACACCCACAGGGAGCGAAAGCCCAAGGGCAACCCGGGCUGGUGGCACCUGGGACCCACCAGAGCUCCCACGCAGCCCUCUGGUAAAGCAGGUCAACCUGCAGGGAUCGCCCUGUGGCGCUGGCUGGCAGGACGGCAGCCGAGCAGUGUGACGAGACCCAGAAGCUCUGGUUCCCGCAGAGAGUCCUCCCAGGCCCUCCAUCAACAGGGGCGUCUGCGUCACUGUCUGCCUCUCGGAGGCUCAGACCAUCCCCUCCAUCCCCUCCAUGGAAGGCAGGGUGGGGAAGACUGUGGGGUGUCUGAGGAUGGCUGCGAAAGGCCCCCGACUUCUGCUUCCCUUGUCAGAAUUCUUGGUCUCAGCGCCCCGGGCCCCGGGCCCCAGGCAAGGAG
rnacentral:lncRNA from 1 species